UUUUUUUUUCUUGAGAACCAAUAGUAAAAUUGUGAUUGGGAUCUCCAUUCUUAAAAGAUCACAGAAAAAUGAUUUCAUCCACAUUAGUUAAAGACGAAUAGCCUGUCCCAAGCGCUGGGACAGUGGCCAAAGGGUAAUGCAGCUAACGGGGAAAAGCAAUUGUCUUGCUUCUUUUCAUAGCAUAGACCCAAGGAGAAUGUUUGCAAAGAAAAAAAAGAUAAGUCUUUAAUUUCCUUGUUUCUCCUUCUCUGCACUUCUUUCUCAUCUUCUGGUACUUCUCUUAGAGGGUCCAUGAUAUUCUCAAACAACCUUAAUUUCACUCCUUUUCCAACUGUAGUGAAAACUUGGUCCCCAGUCUGGCCAGACCAAUCUCAAGGUCUGUCCCUCAGGAGAGCUGGCCCCAAAGGAUUCAGAGCAAAUGAAUCAAAUCAAGAUAUGGAGGAAAUCAGACUUCAUUUUUUCAGUUUUGCUCUAAAGUAGUAACUUUGCAAUCAAAAACUUUUUUAAGAAAUGCAAAUAAACAUGAAAACACAGUUGACACUUAACAACACACAUUUAAACUGCAUGGGUCCACUUACACAGGGAUCUUUUUUUUUUUUUUUUCCCCCGAACGGUAAAUAGUACAGUACUACAGGAUCCACAACUGGUUGAAUCUUCUGAUGUGGAACUGAGAACACACAGGGCUAACGAUAAAUUAUAUGCAUUUUCGACUGCAUGGAGGAUUGGCACCCCUAAUUCUCACCUUGUUCCAGGGUCAACUGUAUAUUCUUAAAUGACAUUAAAAAGAAUGAGAUGAUCCAGUGUGAGAGGGCUUGGAAAAAUAAGCACCCCCAAAAAACUGCAAGGCAGUGUAAACUGAUUAUAGCCUCCCUGGAGGGCACUUUGGUUAUACAUGUCCAAAGUCUUUUUUUUUUUUUUUUUUGUAUAAUGCAGCAAAAACACCACUAAAAACUAUAUGAAGGAAACUAUCAAAGGUAUGCACAGAAAAGAAUGUGCAAAGAUGUUUCUCACUUGUUACAACAGAGAAAACUCAGAAACCUAAAUGACCAACAAGAGCAGAUUGUUAAGUAAAUAAUGAGACCUCCAUACAAUGGAAGACAUGAAAAAGCAGCACAUCAUAGAAACAUAUUUAAUGAUAUGAAAAAAGGGAAUUCCCACAAAGUCGCAGCAGAAACAAAUCCAACUAGGAACCAUGAGGUUGUGGGUACAAUCCCUGGCCUCACUCAGUGGGUUGAGGAUCUGGUGUUGCCAUGAGCUGUGGUGUAGGUUACAGACGACACUCCGAUUCCUCGUUGCUAUGGCUCUGGCCUAGGUUUGGCAGCUACAGCUCCGAUUAGACCCCUAGCCUGGGAAACUCCACAUGCCGUGGGUACAGACCUAGAAAAGCCAAAAAGAUGACACACACACCAAAAAAAAAAACUCGCUAUUUUAUGCACCAACAAAAAAUACUGACAAUUAAACUAUAACAUGUCAUUCACUGUAAGACACAUUCAAGUUUUAGAUAGACAAAAAAUGUCUUAGUAUCAAUGAACUAUAUUAUUCUUAUUUUUUUAUUCAAGGAAACUUAGACUCAAAAAAAGUGACGCAUCCAAGAUCACACAAACAGAUAUGGCAAUGUCAGGGUUCAGAUCUAUCCAUUCAUAUCCGAAAUGCACACCCUCCCCAUUCUGCCAUGUGGCAUGUACAUUAUGUAACAGGGUGCACGAUAAAUUUCUGGUAGACUAUUUCCGUCAAACAUCAAGCAUUCUAUAUUUGUUGAUCACUGCAGACACACUACUAUGCUCAGCCCUCAGGAGACCCAGAUAUUAUUUAAUGAAGGUUCUUCCCUCAACUUUCCAUCGAUUUGAUGAUUCGAAAAAGAGACAUAAACUUUAAGAACAGUUUUUAAGGCACAGGACUAGGUAUUGAAAUAUGUAGCACAGACUAAAAUGCUAUAGGUUUUGGGAAUACAAUCCAUUCUGAGAUGGUGAAGCUUCAUGAAAGAAGGGGAUAAAAUCAGACUUAAGGAAGCACAUCCCUCCCUCUAGUUGCCGCUUAGGAUGCAGUAGCCUCAGAGAGAACUUAGAAUAGUAACAACUGCCAUUUGCUGAGCACUGUACCCUAGGCUCCUAUUUCUCUCACCUCUUCAAACAUACCACAUGUUCCCCUGCCUCUGAGUUUAACCACACUCUAUGCUCUCCACCUGGAACCAUAUUUCCCUGGCUCUGGACCUGGCCACCUUCCCUUUAAUCUUUCAUAUCAACUUUCAAUACGACAUCCUCUGUGCAUCUAUGUGAUCCCCAGACUCAGCCAGGACCCCCCAUUAAAUACUCCCACAGCACUUCUUUUUUUUUUUUUUUUUUUUUUUUUUGUGCUUUUCAGGGUUGCACCCACAGCAUAUGAAAGUUCCCAGGCUAGGGGUCAAAUGGGAGCUGAAACCACUGGCAUACACCACAGCACAGCAAUGCCAGGUUCAAGCUGCAUCUGCAGCUCACGGCAACACCAGAUAUUUAACCCACUGAACAAGGCCAGGGAUCGAACCCAAAUCCUCCCGGAUACUAGUCAGGUUUGUUACUGCUGUGCCACAACAGGGACUCCUUAUUCUUCUUUUAAAUACUUUGAACCACUGUAAUUAUUUGUAAUUAUUUACUUCCACAUCUGUAACUGUGUAUAGUCAUCUGUCCAUUAGACCUGGCCAUUUCAUGCUGGCAGGAACUGUUCAGUUUGCCUACCACUCUACCCCAGGACAAACAUAACAGGAGCCCAAUAAAUUGACUCAUGGUUAUCCUGACAAAGCAUUCACAACUCUUAUCUCACUUAAUCUUCACUAUGCCACUAGAAGGUAGGUGUCAUUAUUUCUCCAAUUUUACCAAGUGAAGAAUCUGAGGCUGGAAGAGGCCAAUUAAUUUACCCAUAUCCCACAAGUGAGGAUUCAAACUCCUGCCACGUGUGCCUGACACCAAAGGGAGGUUUAUAACCUCUAAGCCAUCCCCAACUCCAGCUCACAAGCAAAAGCACAGAGGAAGGCAUAAAAUGGCAUUUCAUGGUACAGACAAACACCUAGCUACGAUGGAUAAUGCACGUGCAACAGACUCAGGUUAAACCCUUACUGAGGACCUGCCAACUGCCUGAACGUGGGCUGAGCACCUUUGGACAAUGGAUUUUAGAGAACUUUGGAGCACACUUUUUGAAGGUCUUUUUUUAUCCCCCUAGUCCUCUUCCCCAAGGUAAAUGCUGACUGUCUCUGGCCAAUUGACAUUGACAGUUGUCAGUUCCCAACAUUUUUUCUGACCAACUCUGACCUUCAGUUAAGGGUUUAUGAUGAAAGCUUGUUAAUAUUUAAUUGAAACAAUAAUGGGCACUACUAUAAUGAAAUCACAUUUAGAAAAGGCAAGCCAAUAGAAAUGUAUAAACUUUAGGCACUACGUUAAAUCUGGCAUCUGUACAGACUACGUCCAAAUCGAAGGUUGGCCACUCAAGGCAAAUUAUGUGGCUCAUUGCUAGGGCAAACCAGAGCUGGAUGAGCCAAAUUACAGAUCAGCUCCUCAGCAAAACUGAACUUGACACCUCUUUCCUCAGGAGAUUGGGAAUUAUCUUCCCAACAUGUACUCUGGAACAUCAGUGUCAGCCCAUUCUGCUAUCUAAAUUUAGAUCUCAAUACAGUAUGUAAAGCAUCUUGCUGUUGUGGUCAUUAGCAGAGAGAAAAACCUCCAAAGUUCCCAUGAUUAAACGAAGACCCAUGGGAUCUGUUCCACCCUCUAAGGAAGCUGUCAUUUCUUCUUGCUGCUCUUAGUGAAGGAUGGAGGGGAGGGGGCUGGGAACAAGCAGGGAAGCAGCAUGACAGAGGGUCAGGAGACCUAGAUGCUGACCCCAUUCUGCUGUACACUAGCUCCGUGACCUUAGUCAAAUCAAGACAUUUCAAAAAAAAAAAAAAAAAAAAA
rnacentral:lncRNA from 1 species